rnacentral:rRNA from 1 species
CAAUAGCGUAUAUUAAAGUUGUUGCGGUUAAAAAGCUCGUAGUUGGAUUUCUGCUGAGAACGACCGGUCCGCCCUUUGGGUGUGUAUCUGGCUCUUUCUUGGCAUCUUCUUGGUGAACGUUGCUGCACUUGACUGUGUGGAGCGCUACCCAGGACUUUUACUUUGAGGAAAUUAGAGUGUUUCAAGCAGGCAUACGCCUUGAAUACAUUAGCAUGGAAUAAUAAGAUAGGACCUCGGUUCUAUUUUGUUGGUUUCUAGAGCUGAGGUAAUGAUUAAUAGGGAUAGUUGGGGGCAUUAGUACUUAACUGUCAGAGGUGGAAUUCUCAGAUUUGUUAAAGACUGACUUAUGCGAAAGCAUUUGCCAAGGAUGUUUUCAUUAA